rnacentral:rRNA from 1 species
UACGGAGGAUCCGAGCGUUAUCCGGAAUUAUUGGGUUUAAAGGGUGCGUAGGCGGCCAUUUAAGUCAGCGGUGAAAUUUUGCAGCUUAACUGUAACAGUGCCGUUGAUACUGUUUGGCUAGGAUUUGGUUGUAGUGUGCGGAAUGUGUGGUGUAGCGGUGAAAUGCUUAGAUAUCACACAGAACACCGAUUGCGAAGGCAGCACACUAAGUCAUUAUUGACGCUGAGGCACGAAAGUGUGGGGAGCAAACCGGAUUAGAUACA